GUGCCAGCAGCCGCGGUAAGACGUAGGGGGCAAGCGUUGUCCGGAUUUAUUGGGCGUAAAGAGCUCGUAGGCGGCUUGGCAAGUCGGAUGUGAAACCUCCAGGCUUAACCUGGAGACGCCAUUCGAUACUGCUAUGGCUUGAGUUCGGUAGGGGCGCAUGGAAUACCCGGUGUAGCGGUGAAAUGCUUAGAUAUCGGGUGGAACACCAGUGGCGAAGGCGGUGCGCUGGGCCGAAACUGACGCUGAGGAGCGAAAGCGUGGGUAGCAAACAGGAUUAGAAACCCUCGUAGUCC
rnacentral:rRNA from 1 species